rnacentral:rRNA from 1 species
CAGAUCUCCAGUCUUAGAGUUUGAUCAUGGCUCAGAACGAACGCUGGCGGCAGGCUUAACACAUGCAAGUCGAACGGGCGUAGCAAUACGUCAGCGGCAGACGGGUGAGGAACACGUGGGAAUAUCCCCUUCAGUUCGGAAUAGCUCAGGGAAACUUGAGCUAAUACCGGAUACGUCAGAGAUGAGAAAGAUUUAUCGCUGAAGGAUUAGCCCGCGUCUGAUUAGCUAGUUGGUGAGGUAAUGGCUCACCAAGGCGACGAUCAGUAGCUGGUCUGAGAGGAUGAUCAGCCACAUUGGGACUGAGACACGGCCCAAACUCCUACGGGAGGCAGCAGUGGGGAAUAUUGGACAAUGGGCGAAAGCCUGAUCCAGCCAUGCCGCGUGAGUGAUGAAGGCCUUCGGGUUGUAAAGCUCUUUUGUCCAGUAAGAUAAUGACUGUACCGGAAGAAUAAGCCCCGGCAAACUUCGUGCCAGCAGCCGCGGUAAUACGAAGGGGGCUAUCGUUGUUCGGAAUCACUGGGCGUAAAGCGCACGUAGGCGGCUUGUGAAGUCAGGGUGAAAGCCUGUAGCUCAACUCCA